CCUACGGGAGGCAGCAGUGGGGAAUCUUGCGCAAUGGUCGAAAGACUGACGCAGCGACGCCGCGUGCGGGAGGAAGCCCUUCGGGGUGUAAACCGCUGUUACUCGGGACGAAUCUCCCGUUUCGACGGGAUUGACGGUACCGGGGGAGGAAGCACCGGCUAACUCUGUGCCAGCAGCCGCGGUAAUACAGAGGGUGCGAGCGUUGUCCGGAAUCACUGGGCGUAAAGGGCGCGUAGGCGGCUUCUCACGCGUGCGGUGAAAGCCCGGGGCUUAACUCCGGGUCUGCCGUGCGAACGGGGAGGCUUGAGUCUGGUAGAGGUCGAUGGAAUUCCGGGUGUAGCGGUGGAAUGCGUAGAGAUCCGGAAGAACACCGGUGGCGAAGGCGGUCGACUGGGCCAGUACUGACGCUGAGGCGCGACAGCGUGGGGAGCAAACAGGAU
rnacentral:rRNA from 1 species